AACGUAGGACGCAAGCGUUAUCCGGAGUUACUGGGCGUAAAGCGCGGGCAGGCGGUCGCUUAAGUCUGAUGUGAAAUCUCCCAGCUCAACUGGGAGCAGCCAUUGGAAACUAGGCGACUGGAGUCUGGCAGAGGUAGGCGGAAUUCCGGGUGGAGUGGUGAAAUGCGUAGAGAUCCGGAGGAACACCAGAGGCGAAGGCGGCCUACUGGGCCAGUACUGACGCUGAGCCGCGAAAGCCAGGGGAGCGAACGGG
rnacentral:rRNA from 1 species